rnacentral:rRNA from 1 species
UGCUUUUUGUAAAUAUAAAAAGUAAUACCUGCCCAAUGAAUUAUUUAAAUGGCCGCAGUAUUUUAACUGUGCAAAGGUAGCAUAAUCAUUUGUUUUAUAAAUUAAAACUUGUAUGAAUGGAAAAAUGUAAAUAUAACUGUCUUUUUUUUAUAAAUAAAAUUUGCUUUUUCAGUGAAGAAGCUGAAUUAUUUUAGAAAGACGAAAAGACCCUAUGAGUUUUUAAUAUUGAUAUAUCAAUAUAUAUUAAUAUUUUUAAUUGGGGUGAUUAAAGAAUAUAUCUUCUUUUCUAAAUACAAAAUUAUAAUUUUUGAUCCAUUAAUAAUGAAUAAAAGUUUAAAUUACCAUAGGGAUAACAGCAUAAUUUUUUUUAAGAGUACAUAUUGACAAAAAAGAUUGUGACCUCGAUGUUGGUUUAAGAAAAUUUUAUAAUGAAGCAGUUAUAUAAAUAAGUUUGUUCAACUUUUAAAUUCUUACA